rnacentral:tRNA from 3 species
ACUUCCAAAGGAUAAUAGUGUAUCCACUGGUCUUAGGAACCAAAAAUUUCUUGGUGCAAAUCCAAGUGGAAGUU